rnacentral:rRNA from 1 species
GACAGAGGGGGCAAGCGUUGUUCGGAAUUACUGGGCGUAAAGGGCGCGUAGGCGGUUGGAUAAGUCAGCUGUGAAAACCACGAGCUUAACUCGUGGCCUGCAGUUGAGACUGUCUGGCUUGAGUGUGGGAGAGGAGAGUGGAAUUCCUGGUGUAGCGGUGAAAUGCGUAGAUAUCAGGAGGAACACCGGUGGCGAAGGCGUCCCUCUGGCCGGAUACUGACGCUGAGACGCGAAAGCGUGGGGAGCAAACAGG